rnacentral:rRNA from 1 species
GACGAACCGUGCGAACGUUGUUCGGAAUCACUGGGCUUAAAGGGCGCGUAGGCGGGAUGGCAAGUCGGAGGUGAAAGCCCCCAGCUUAACUGGGGAAGUGCCCUCGAUACUGCCGUUCUCGAGAGAGGUAGGGGCGUGUGGAACUUCCGGUGGAGCGGUGAAAUGCGUAGAUAUCGGAAGGAACGCCGGUGGCGAAAGCGAUGCGCUGGACCUUUUCUGACGCUGAGGCGCGAAAGCCAGGGGAGCGAACGGG